rnacentral:rRNA from 1 species
UACGGAGGGUGCAAGCGUUGUUCGGAUUUACUGGGCGUAAAGCGCGCGCAGGCGGCACACCAAGUACCCUAUGAAAUCUCCUUGCUCAACGGGGAGGGUGUUGGGUGGACUGGUGAGCUAGAGGACGGUAGAGGGGGGUAGAAUUGCUGGUGUAGCGGUGAAAUGCGUAGAGAUCAGCAGGAAUACCCGUGGCGAAGGCGGCCCCCUGGGCCGUACCUGACGCUGAGGCGCGAAGGCUAGGGGAGCGAACGGG